rnacentral:rRNA from 1 species
AGCAGCCGCGGUAAUUCCAGCUCCAAUAGCGUAUAUUAAAGUUGUUGCAGUUAAAAAGCUCGUAGUUGAAUUUCGGGAUCAAUUUAUUGGUCGUGCUAUUGUACGUACUGGUAUUAUUGAUUCCUACCUUCUGACGAACCAUGAUGUCAUUAAUUUGGUGUCAUGGGGAAUCAGGACUGUUACUUUGAAAAAAUUAGAGUGUUUAAAGCAGGCUCACGCUUGAAUACAUUAGCAUGGAAUAACGAAAUAGGACGUUUGAUUCUAUUUUGUUGGUUUCUAGGAUCGACGUAAUGAUUAAUAGGGAUAGUUGGGGGCAUUAGUAUUCAAUUGUCAGAGGUGAAAUUCUUGGAUUUAUUGAAGACUAACUACUGCGAAAGCAUUUGCCAAGGAUGUUUUCAUUAAUCAAGAACGAAAGUUAGGGGAUCGAAGACGAUCAGAUACCGUCGUAGUCUUAACCAUAAACUAUGCCGACUAGGGAUCGGAUGAUGUUAAUUUUUUAAUGA